rnacentral:rRNA from 1 species
GAUGAACGCUGGCGGCGUGCCUAACAUAUGCAAGUCGAGCGAUCUUCUUCGGAAGAGAGCGGCGGACGGGUGAGUAACGCGUGGGUAACCUGCCCUGUACACACGGAUAACAUACCGAAAGGUAUGCUAAUACGGGAUAACAUAAGAAAUUCGCAUGUUUUUCUUAUCAAAGCUCCGGCGGUACAGGAUGGACCCGCGUCUGAUUAGCUAGUUGGUGAGGUAACGGCUCACCAAGGCGACGAUCAGUAGCCGACCUGAGAGGGUGAUCGGCCACAUUGGAACUGAGACACGGUCCAAACUCCUACGGGAGGCAGCAGUGGGGAAUAUUGCACAAUGGGCGAAAGCCUGAUGCAGCAACGCCGCGUGAGCGAUGAAGGCCUUCGGGUCGUAAAGCUCUGUCCUCAAGGAAGAUAAUGACGGUACUUGAGGGGGAAGCCCCGGCUAACUACGUGCCAGCCGCCGCAGUAAUAC